UACAGAGGGGGCAAGCGUUGUUCGGAAUUACUGGGCGUAAAGGGCGCGUAGGCGGCCCGCUAAGUCGAACGUGAAAUCCCCGAGCUCAACUCGGGAACUGCGUCCGAUACUGGAAGGCUUGAAUCCGGGGGAGGGAUGCGGAAUUCCAGGUGUAGCGGUGAAAUGCGUAGAUAUCUGGAGGAACACCGGUGGCGAAGGCGGCAUCCUGGACCGGUAUUGACGCUGAGGCGCGAAAGCCAGGGGAGCGAACGGG
rnacentral:rRNA from 1 species